AAUUAUCCUGUAUUAUAUUGCAUGAUAUACUUUCUGUGACAGAUCCAAUUCAAGCUCCAAUCCAAGGGCUCUACAUUCUCCCCGUUUCUGCAGAAACUAUUUCUCCUAUCACUGCUCUGCAAGAGGAAAACACAGAGACAAUUUCUCCUACCAUUGCUCUGCAAGAGGACAACUCAGAGACAGUAGUAAGCUUGGACGAUGUCACCAUGUCCCCUGCAAAAGUAAAAUGCCCUUCUUGCCAGAAGAUUGUCAACACUGAGAUCUACUAUAAACUGGGCAGCAAUGCCUUUCUCUUUUGCUGUCUCUUAUCUGUGGUAGGGUGCCUGGCCGGAUGUUGCCUGGUCCCCUUUUGUAUGAAUCGCUUCAAAGAUGUCACCCACAGGUGUCCAUCCUGCCAUAAAGAUAUAUGUUCAGUAAAUAGAAUUUGAAGCAAAGGGUAAUACAGUUAUUGAUCUGCAAUAACAUGACUGUGAAAACCUCCAGAAGAGCUUAAAGCUGAGCACAGGGGUCAGGCCUGGAUUUUUGUCUCUUUGCUGGGGAAGUCCAUAUGUAGGCUUUGAGAUGUGGCGAAACUACAUGUACAAAGGAAUUCAACUAUAGUCAAGUUAAGCAAAUAAUAAUUGAUUAAGAGUAAGAGGACCUAAUGUGCUACAUUAAUAUUGUGCAAGUGGCCACUAGUCCAGCAGCGUCUCAACCAUUUCCAAUAGG